GUUUUAGUGAUGUUUUUUCCUAUUUGUUGUUUGUUUACCUGGCGAAUCCGUCCUGGCAUGGAUUCUUUAAGCAGGACGUUGUACGUUUAGACUUAUUGAAGAUCAAGUGUUCUUCUGGUGGGCACGGACCUUGUCUGUAGGUUUUUAGCACCAGAAUUUCAUGAGUUUUAUUACCUGGUCCACAAUCACAGGUCCACGAAUCGUUGUCUUCUGGAUAUAACAUUUGAUUUGGAUCUUUGCAUUUAUCUGGAGCGUACAAGGGCAAUCUUUCCUGCGAAUUCAAUUAGGUUGUUGUUUACAUCGAAAAUGGGAUGAAUUAAAUGAACUUACAGAUUCUCCUCGACUAGUAAGUUGAUUCAAGUUUGCAGCCAAGGAACCACCAAAUAUUAACAUACAAUGUAACAAAAUGUACAGUUUUUCUAAAACAAUUAUUAACAACUAAUCAUGGUAUAAUUUUCAAGCUUUUCUGAGUUAAUUUGAAUAAAAAAACAAUAAUUCAA